rnacentral:rRNA from 1 species
UCUUGCGCAAUGGGCGAAAGCCUGACGUAGCAACGCCGCGUGAGGGAAGAAGGCCUUCGGGUUGUAAACCUCUUUCAGGAGGGACGAAGCCACCAGGGUUAAUAGCCUAUGGGGUGACGGUACCUUCAGAAGAAGCCCCGGCUAACUACGUGCCAGCAGCCGCGGUAAUACGUAGGGGGCAAGCGUUGUCCGGAAUCAUUGGGCGAAAGCGCGUGAGGCGGCUUGGUAAGUCUGGCGUAAAUCUUGGGGCUCAACCCCAAGCCUGCGUUGAUACUGCCUCGCUCAGUCCGGGCAGAAAGCGAAUUCCCAGUGAGCGGUAAAUGCGCAAAUUGGAAGACACCGGUGGCGAGGCGCUUUCUGGACGUCUGCGAGAGCCAGUAGAUAG